rnacentral:rRNA from 1 species
ACGGACUCCUACGGGAGGCAGCAGUAGGGAAUUUUCCGCAAUGGGCGAAAGCCUGACGGAGCAAUGCCGCGUGGAGGUAGAAGGCCCACGGGUCGUGAACUUCUUUUCCCGGAGAAGAAGCAAUGACGGUAUCUGGGGAAUAAGCAUCGGCAAACUCCGUGCCAGCAGCCGCGGUAAU